AUGUGUUAUCCAUGCACUGAAUGUGGGAAUACGAGGUCUUACUCUAACCAGAAAAUCCUUCACUCCCACCUGCUUUACAAGGGUUUCAUGCCACACUAUAAUGUUUGGACGAGGCACAGAGAAAUAGGGGUUAUGAUGGAAGACUGCGAAGAAGAAGAGUACGAAGACAACUAUGUGCCCCCUGAAUAUGGUGAUGCUGCAACGGGGGGAGCUGGUGAAGAUCAAGAGGAACCAGACAAUGUGCCCAAUGAUGCUGCAACAGGUGAGGCUGCUGAAGAUCAAGAGGAACCAGACGAUGUGCCCGAUGAUGAUGAUCUCCGCCGGGUCAUUGUCGAUGCAAGGACGCAAUGCGAAAGUCAAAAGGAGAAGCUGAAGUUCGAUCACAUGUUAGAGGAUGACAAAAAAGGGUUGUACCCCAAUUGCGAAGAUGGCAACACAAAGCUCGGUAUCAUACUGGAAUUGAUGCAAUGGAAGGCAGAGAAUGUUGUGCCUGACAAAGGAUUUGAGAAGCUACUGAAAAUAUUGAAGAAGAAGCUUCCAAAGGAUAAUGAAUUGCCCGACAGUACAUACGCAACAAAGAAGGUCGUAUGCCCUCUAGGAUUGGAGGUGGAGAAGAUACAUGCAUGCCCUAAUGACUGCAUCCUCUACCGCGGUGCAUACAAGGAUUUGAACGCAUGCCCGGUAUGCGGUGCAUUGCGGUAUAAGAUCAGACGAGAUGACCCUGGUGAUGUUGACGGCGAGCCCCCCAGGAAGAGGGUUCCUGCGAAGGUGAUGUGGUAUGCUCCUAUAAUACCACGGUUGAAACGUCUGUUCAGAAACGAAGAGCAUGCCAAGUUUAUGCGAUGGCACAGUGAGGACCAUAAGAAAGACGGGAAGUUGAGAGCACCCGCUGACGGGUCGCAGUGGAGAAAAAUCGAGAGAAAGUAUUGGGAUGAGUUUGCAAAGGACCCAAGGAACGGAUGGUUUGCUUUAAGCGCUGAUGGCAUUAAUCCUUUCGGGGAGUAG
rnacentral:rRNA from 1 species